CCUACGGGAGGCAGCAGUGAGGAAUAUUGGUCAAUGGCCGGAAGGCUGAACCAGCCAUGCCGCGUGAAGGUCAGUGCCCUAUGGGCGUUAAACUUCUUUUGUGCGGGAGCAAUAAUGGUCACGUGUGGCCAGACGAGAGCACCGUACGAAUAAGCAUCAGCUAACACCGUGCCAGCAGCCGCGGUAAUACCGGGGAUGCAAGCGUUUUCCGGAUUUUUUGGGUUUAAAGGGGGCGUAGGCUGUGAGGUAAGUCAGAGGUGAAAUGCCUCCGCUCAACGGGGUGAAGUGCCAUUGAUACUGCCUGGCUGGAGUGCGGAUGCCGUAGGAGGAAUGUGUGGUGUAGCGGUGAAAUGCAUAGAUAUCACACAGAACACCGAUUGCGAAGGCAUCUCACGAAUCCGCGAUUGACGCUGAUGCACGAAAGCGUGGGUAUCAAACAGGAUUAGAUACCCGAGUAGUC
rnacentral:rRNA from 1 species